rnacentral:rRNA from 1 species
UACAGAGGGUGCAAGCGUUAAUCGGAUUUACUGGGCGUAAAGCGUGUGUAGGUGGUCGUGCAAGUCGGUUGUGAAAUCCCUGGGCUUAACCUGGGAACUGCUUCCGAUACUGCUUGACUCGAAUUCGGUAGAGGGAGGCGGAACUCCAGGUGUAGCGGUGAAAUGCGUAGAUAUCUGGAAGAACACCAAUGGCGAAGGCAACCUCCUGGGCCUGAAUUGACACUGAGACACGAAAGCGUGGGGAUCAAACAGG